AUUGAACGCUGGCGGCAUGCCUUACCCAUGCAAGUCGAACGAUGAACCCGGAGCUUGCUCCGGUGGAUUAGUGGCGAACGGGUGAGUAACACGUGAGUAACCUGCCCUUGACUCUGGGAUAACGGCGGGAAACUGUAGCUGAUACCGGAUACGACCCUCGGCGGCAUCGCCAGGGGGUGGAAAGAAUUUCGGUCAAGGAUGGACUCGCGGCCUGUCAGCUAGUUGGUGGGGUAACGGCUCACCAAGGCGCCGACGGGUAGCCGGCCUGAGAGGGUGACCGGCCACACUGGGACUGAGACACGGCCCAGACUCCUACGGGAGGCAGCAGUGGGGAAUAUUGCACAAUGGGCGCAAGCCUGAUGCAGCAACGCCGCGUGAGGGAUGACGGCCUUCGGGUUGUAAACCUCUUUUAGUAGGGAAGAAGCGAAAGUGACGGUACCUGCAGAAAAAGCACCGGCUAACUACGUGCCAGCCGCCGCAGUAA
rnacentral:rRNA from 1 species